GAUGAACGCUGGCGGCGUGCCUAAUACAUGCAAGUCGAGCGAACGGACGAGAAGCUUGCUUCUCUGAUGUUAGCGGCGGACGGGUGAGUAACACGUGGAUAACCUACCUAUAAGACUGGGAUAACUUCGGGAAACCGGAGCUAAUACCGGAUGAUAUUUUGAACCGCAUGGUUAAAAAGUGAAAGACGGUCUUGCUGUCACUUAUAGAUGGAUCCGCGCUGCAUUAGCUAGUUGGUAAGGUAACGGCUUACCAAGGCAACGAUGCAUAGCCGACCUGAGAGGGUGAUCGGCCACACUGGAACUGAGACACGGUCCAGACUCCUACGGGAGGCAGCAGUAGGGAAUCUUCCGCAAUGGGCGAAAGCCUGACGGAGCAACGCCGCGUGAGUGAUGAAGGUCUUCGGAUCGUAAAACUCUGUUAUUAGGGAAGAACAUAUGUGUAAGUAACUGUGCACAUCUUGACGGUACCUAAUCAGAAAGCCACGGCUAACUACGUG
rnacentral:rRNA from 1 species